rnacentral:rRNA from 1 species
GAUGAACGCUGGCGUCGUGCCUAAUACAUGCAAGUCGAGCGAACAGACGAGGAGCUUGCUCCUCUGACGUUAGCGGCGGACGGGUGAGUAACACGUGGAUAACCUACCUAUAAGACUGGGAUAACUUCGGGAAACCGGAGCUAAUACCGGAUAAUAUAUUGAACCGCAUGGUUCAAUAGUGAAAGACGGUUUUGCUGUCACUUAUAGAUGGAUCCGCGCCGCAUUAGCUAGUUGGUAAGGUAACGGCUUACCAAGGCAACGAUGCGUAGCCGACCUGAGAGGGUGAUCGGCCACACUGGAACUGAGACACGGUCCAGACUCCUGCGGGAGGCAGCAGUAGGGAAUCUUCCGCAAUGGGCGAAAGCCUGACGGAGCAACGCCGCGUGAGUGAUGAAGGUCUUCGGAUCGUAAAACUCUGUUAUUAGGGAAGAACAAAUGUGUAAGUAACUAUGCACGUCUUGACGGUACCUAAUCAGAAAGCCACGGCUAACUACGUG